CAGAGUUCAUGCCCUCACGGGUAGAUCUCCCACCCUUGUGUAAUAUAAAUAUCUGUUGCUUUGGCGGGUCGCGAGCUCACCCUCGCCCUGUGUACCCGCCAGAGGACCAAUAAACUCUGAAUGUUAGUGUCGUCUGAGUACUAUAUAAUAGUUA
rnacentral:misc_RNA from 1 species